rnacentral:rRNA from 1 species
UCGAUUGUCCCAGCCGCCGCGGUAAUACGGAGGGUGCAAGCGUUAAUCGGAAUUACUGGGCGUAAAGCGCACGCAGGCGGUCUGUCAAGUCGGAUGUGAAAUCCCCGGGCUCAACCUGGGAACUGCAUUCGAAACUGGCAGGCUAGAGUCUUGUAGAGGGGGGUAGAAUUCCAGGUGUAGCGGUGAAAUGCGUAGAGAUUUGGAGGAAUACCGGUGGCGAAGGCGGCCCCCUGGACAAAGACUGACGCUCAGGUGCGAAAGCGUGGGGAGCAAACAGGAUUAGAUACCCUGGUAGUCCACGCCGUAAACGAUGUCGAUUUGGAGGUUGUGCCCUUGAGGCGUGGCUUCCGGAGCUAACGCGUUAAAUCGACCGCCUGGGGAGUACGGCCGCAAGGUUAAAACUCAAAUGAAUUGACGGGGGCCCGCACAAGCGGUGGAGCAUGUGGUUUAAUUCGAUGCAACGCGAAGAACCUUACCUGGUCUUGACAUCCACAGAACUUAGCAGAGAUGCUUUGGUGCCUUCGGGAACUGUGAGACAGGUGCUGCAUGGCUGUCGUCAGCUCGUGUUGUGAAAUGUUGGGUUAAGUCCCGCAACGAGCGCAACCCUUAUCCUUUGUUGCCAGCGGUCCGGCCGGGAACUCAAAGGAGACUGCCAGUGAUAAACUGGAGGAAGGUGGGGAUGACGUCAAGUCAUCAUGGCCCUUACGACCAGGGCUACACACGUGCUACAAUGGCAUAUACAAAGAGAAGCGACCUCACGAGAGCAAGCGGACCUCAUAAAGUAUGUCGUAGUCCGGAUUGGAGUCUGCAACUCGACUCCAUGAAGUCGGAAUCGCUAGUAAUCGUAGAUCAGAAUGCUACGGUGAAUACGUUCCCGGGCCUUGUACACACCGCCCGUCACACCAUGGGAGUGGGUUGCAAAAGAAGUAGGUAGCUUAACCUUCGGGAGGGCGCUUACCACUUUGUGAUUCAUGACUGGGGUGAAGUCGUAACAAGGUAACCA